rnacentral:rRNA from 1 species
UACGGAAGGGGCAAGCGUUGUUCGGAAUCAUUGGGCGUAAAGGGCGCGCAGGCUGUUUUGUGUGUCUGCUGUAAAAGCACACGGCUCAACUGUGUAAAGUCGGUAGAAACUGCAAAACUUGAGGCUGGGAAGAGGCUGGUGGAAUUCCCUGUGGUAAGCGGUGAAAUGCGUAGAUAUAGGGGAGAACACUCGUGGCGAAGGCGGCCAGCUGGACCAGUCCUGACGCUGAGGCGCGACAGCGUGGGGAGCAAACAGG